GCUAGGCACAGUGGCGCAUGCCUGCAAUCCCAGGUUCUUGGGAGGCUGAGGCAGGAGGAAUGUAAAUUCAAGGCCAGCCUAGGAUACUUUUGAGACCCUGUCUCAA
rnacentral:sRNA from 1 species